GUUUUCAAAAUAUUUAGAGAUUUGUAAGGGUCAUCUUAUGAUUAUGAAUAUUUCUAAAAUCUAUUGUUGAGUU
rnacentral:tRNA from 1 species